UUGCUAUGAUGAGAUACAGAAUUUGUGGAAAGCUCAUUGUGCUUGAUGUAAUAUCGACAGUCGCUGUCGAUUCUGAGCGGUUACCUGAGCAG
rnacentral:snoRNA from 1 species